rnacentral:tRNA from 1 species
GGCCACAUAACUCAAUGGCUAGAGUAUCCGCCUGUCUAGCGGAAGGUUAGGGGUUCGAGUCCCCUUGUGGUCGCCA